CCCUGUCUCACUCUCUCUAUCUGCCUUGUAUCUCUCGUUCUCUCUCUACAUGCUCUCUCUGCCCGCCAUCGCUCUCCUUAAGCAUGUGGCCUAUAAAGUGGUCGGGUACAAUUUUGUGCUGAACCCAAACAUUUUUUGUUGUCCGGCACAAAAAAUCGUAAAAAAAUAUUUGAUCCGGCACAAAUUUGUCGAUGUUUGAAAGUUUUUUUGGCGAUCUAGCAUACUUUUGUGCAGAAGCGCAAAAAACAAAUCGAUUGUCGAAGUUUAAACGGUCCGCCACACCGAUUAUGUAAGUUAACGCCCAAGAUCUGGGCUUUUGAGCAAAACGCAGUCAUUCGCCCUCGUCGGUCUACCAUUGUUGUAUUUGUUUCCCUCAGGUUAGCAUAUAUUAGUUAUAUUGAUCGACCCCAUGACGUCAACUAUUACAACAUGAUCUUUGAUGAAUUAUUGUCAUUUGACUGGGUGAUUCGAGGUCUCGAGAAUAUGCCCCUGUUCCUGCCACUUAUGGGGUAUUCAUGCUUUCUUUUGGCAGUUAACACUUUACUAAGGGUUAUUUUCCUCAAAGGGGGCUUCAUCAGUUUCGAUACAUCCAAAAUUACAUAUCCCCUGGAGAAGCCAUUGACCGUCGCCCCGUGUUCCCUCUUAAGCAACACUCUUUCACCCAUCUUGGUUGAGCAAGCUUAUCCUAGAAGGGGAAGAAAUCCUCUUCUGAUGAAAGGCUAAUCGAACAGGAUAAGCCCAUGAUCACUUCCAAUUAUAAUUCUUGGUGGUGGGAGUGUGCUUUUCCCCUUCCCUUAUGUCCUUGGGUACCUAGGUCUCAUGGUGAAACCUUUGCCCCUACUAAGGAUGUUGCACCUUCUCAAGAUGAUGGCACAUCUUUUUCGAAAAAGCGGGCUAAGUCUGGUGAAGAUGUAUCUGAAAUUAGCUUGGAGAAGGCAGAAGUCGAACUGGCCCGAUGGUCGGCCCAUGUGGCGGUUCUCAAAGAGAAAGAGGAUGAGCCCAAAUUGAA